CAGCAGCCGCGGUAAAACGUAGGCGACAAGCGUUGUCCGGAAUUAUUGGGCGUAAAGCGCGCGCAGGCGGAUCAGUUAGUCUGUCUUAAAAGUUCGGGGCUUAACCCCGUGAUGGGAUGGAAACUGCUGAUCUAGAGUAUCGGAGAGGAAAGUGGAAUUCCUAGUGUAGCGGUGAAAUGCGUAGAUAUUAGGAAGAACACCAGUGGCGAAGGCGACUUUCUGGACGAAAACUGACGCUGAGGCGCGAAAGCCAGGGGAGCGAACGGGAUUAGAUACCCCAGUAGUCCCUGUCUCUUAUACA
rnacentral:rRNA from 1 species